rnacentral:sRNA from 1 species
AAUGCUCUAAAUAAUAAAUACAGGCAGUUUCAUCAAAAUCGGACAAGGGAAUCGAGGGGCCAGGCGUUAAUGGGAUACUCUAUUGUUGGAAGAAAGGAACUGCAAUUUCAAUUCAAUAUCUUCCUUUUCAAAAACUCAGUAGCGGGGUUUCAAGAACAGAGGGGCGACUGUUAUGACUUUCAAUGUCCGUGCCAAGUAUGAUCCGAAUCAGUCUAAAAAGUGAUAUAGCCGUCAUGAUAUAGCCCAUUUGACCGAAAUAGUAGGUGGGUAGGUGAAGUAGACUUUUAUCUUCCAAUACUCACAACGAGUCCCAUACAGAUAGGAAUAUUUUCAAACCUUUGGUGCUGGGAAUAAAAUAUCCCUAUAGAUGUCAACCAAAUUCAAGCUCAAAAUCUCAAACUAAGGUAUUGCUGUAACAGUAGAACGGAAUGGAAAGUGCAUGUUACAAUGGAACGACUAGAAGGCGAUGGGUAGAACAAUACAAUGAAAUUCUUAAAAAGAAUAACUUUAACCACAAUUUUUGAUGUUAAUUUUCAAUAAAACUGUUAUUUUGCAUUGUGUAGUUGGCUGACAUUUGGAUGUUUCCCCAA